rnacentral:rRNA from 1 species
GAUGAACGCUGGCGGUAUGCUUAACACAUGCAAGUCGAACGGACUCUUCGGAGUUAGUGGCGGACGGGUGAGUAACGCGUGAGAAUCUGGCUUCUGGUUCGGGAUAACAGUGGGAAACGACUGCUAAUACCGGAUGUGCCUGCGGGUAAAAGGCUUGCUGCCAGAAGAUGAGCUCGCGUCUGAUUAGCUAGUUGGUGGGGUAAGAGCCUACCAAGGCGACGAUCAGUAGCUGGUCUGAGAGGAUGAUCAGCCACACUGGGACUGAGACACGGCCCAGACUCCUACGGGAGGCAGCAGUGGGGAAUUUUCCGCAAUGGGCGAAAGCCUGACGGAGCAAUACCGCGUGUGGGAAGAAGGCUCUUGGGUUGUAAACCUUUUUUCUCAGGGAAUAAGAAAGUGAAGGUACCUGAGGAAUCAGCAUCGGCUAACUCCGUGCCAGCAGCCGCGGUAAUACGGAGGAUGCAAGCGUUAUCCGGAAUGAUUGGGCGUAAAGCGUCCGCAGGUGGUU